CAGUCGUACCUGCGGGUAAUCAGCCCUUUGGGCAUGAUUCUGUGGAGCGUGAGGAGUUAAACGCCUUCAUGCCUGCAUAUUCGUGUACUUUGGGUGUACUUGCCUGUGUGGUUAGUUAACAUCAAUUUUGGUUAUCAUAAAAUGGUUGGAGGAAUGUAGCUUCGAUCUCGUAUUGAAGUGUUAUAGCCUCUUGUUGUACACGGUGCCUGGGAUUGAGGACUGCAGCACGCCUUUGGUAGGGGUUCGCCCACUCCACGUGCCUUAGGAUGCUGGCGUAAUGGCUUUAAACGACCCGUCUUGAAACACGGACCAAGGAGUCUAAC
rnacentral:rRNA from 1 species